AGCUGUGGUGGCCUAAUGGUUGGCAUGCUGGACUCCGUAUCGAGUGGUCCAGGUUCAAGCCCUGGCUGGGUUC